rnacentral:pre_miRNA from 1 species
AGGAGGAACAACCCCAGUGGUGGCGGCCAGCUCUGGAGUCCUGGAGUCAGCUCCCGCAGUAACCACAGAGCUCUCUGUCUGCAGGGCCUGGAGGCUCCAGGGCGGG